GAUGAACGCUGGCGGCGUGCCUAAUACAUGCAAGUCGAGCGAAUGGAUUAAGAGCUUGCUCUUAUGAAGUUAGCGGCGGACGGGUGAGUAACACGUGGGUAACCUGCCCAUAAGACUGGGAUAACUCCGGGAAACCGGGGCUAAUACCGGAUAACAUUUUGAACCGCAUGGUUCGAAAUUGAAAGGCGGCCUCGGCUGUCACUUAUGGAUGGACCCGCGUCGCAUUAGCUAGUUGGUGAGGUAACGGCUCACCAAGGCAACGAUGCGUAGCCGACCUGACAGGGUGAUCGGCCACACUGGGACUGAGACACGGCCCAGACUCCUACGGGAGGCAGCAGUAGGGAAUCUUCCGCAAUGGACGAAAGUCUGACGGAGCAACGCCGCGUGAGUGAUGAAGGCUUUCGGGUCGUAAAACUCUGUUGUUAGGGAAGAACAAGUGCUAGUUGAAUAAGCUGGCACCUUGACGGUACCUAACCAGAAGCCACGGCUAACUACGUGCCAGCCGCCGCUGUAA
rnacentral:rRNA from 1 species